GCCUAGUUAGCUUAGUUGGUAGUGCGUCUGCCUUGUAAGCGCUAGGCCGCGGGUUCGAUUCCUGCCUUUGAGUA
rnacentral:tRNA from 1 species